rnacentral:rRNA from 1 species
ACCUACGGGACGCAGCAGCGGGGGAUAUUGGACAAUGGGGGGAACCCUGAUCCAGCGACGCCGCGUGAGUGAAGAAGUAUCUCGGUAUGUAAAGCUCUAUCAGCAGGGAAGAAAGAAAUGACGGUACCUGAGUAAGAAGCCCCGGCUAACUACGUGCCAGCAGCCGCGGUAAUACGUAUGGUGCAAGCGUUAUCCGGAUUUACUGGGUGUAAAGGGAGCGCAGGCGGCACGCUAAGCCUGAUGUGAAAACCCGCGGCCCAACCGCGGGAGUGCAUUGGGAACUGGC